rnacentral:ncRNA from 1 species
AAAAAGUUUUAUUCUGGCUUUUAUAUUAAUUAAUUUUCUUAAAUUUAUAUGGAUUUACAUAAUAAAUUAAAAUUUUCCAUUAAUUAAUAUUAUCAUAAUAAUAUAUUUAUUGAUUUAGUUAAAGAAUUAUAGUAGAUUAAAUUUGUGCCAGCAUUCGCGGUUAGACAAUUUACUUAAGUUAAUUUAUUAAAAUUUUAUUAUUUAUAAUUUUAUUGGAUUUAUUAUAUUAAUAUUUAGGUGGAAUUUAUAUUAAUAGAUUUCAUUCUUAGGAUUAAAUUUGAUAUAUGUUUAUAUUAAACUAGGAUUAGAUACCCUAUUAUAGAAUUAAAUAUUAUUUAAGUUUUAGAAUACUAAAAGUUAUGUUAUUUGAAGCUCAAAGAAUUUGGCGGUAAAAUAAAUCUUUUUAGAGGAACCUGUAAUUUAAUUGAUAAACCACAAUAAUUUUUACUUUUAUUUUAAUUUGUAUAUCGCUAUUUAUUAGAAUGUUUCUUAAGAAUAUUUUCUUUAAAAUUAAUUUUUUAUGUUAGGUCAAGAUACAGUUUUAUAAAAGUUUUUAUGGGUUACUUUAAUAAUAAAUUAAUAAUUUUCUUUUAUUAUAUAUAAUUAAAUAUUAUUAGGAUUUAAUAGUAAAUUAAUUUAAUUAAUUUAAUUGAAUUUUGCUCUAUUUUAUGUACAUAUCGCCCGUCAUUCCUAAAAUUAAUUUAGGACAAGUCGUAACAAAGUAAUUUUACCGGAAGGUGAGGUUAGAAUAUAUUAGAA